UACGUAGGAGGCAAGCGUUGUCCGGAAUCACUGGGCGUAAAGAGCUCGUAGGCGGUCUGUUGCGUCCGCUGUGAAAACUCGGGGCUUAACCCCGAGCCUGCAGUGGAUACGGGCAGACUAGAGGUAGGUAGGGGAGAAUGGAAUUCCCGGUGUAGCGGUGAAAUGCGCAGAUAUCGGGAGGAACACCGGUGGCGAAGGCGGUUCUCUGGGCCUUACCUGACGCUGAGGAGCGAAAGCGUGGGGAGCGAACAGG
rnacentral:rRNA from 1 species